CGCAGACAUACAGAGAUUUUCGGCUCACAACUGGGAUAUUCCUGCUCCUGAAAAUCUUGUGGGUUUUUUGCUGUUUGUAGCACCUCUUCCCGCAUUUUGGAGGAACAGCGUCUGGCCACCUUCCUGUUUGCUGCGGAAGCUCCUGGGAUAAUGGUACUGUCUGGAUGGGCCCUAUAUUUGGUGAAGAACAGGAACAACCGAGGCACUCUUCAGCUACAGCAAGAAAAAAAUGAGCAACAAAUGCAUUGCUUUAGAAGAAGAGGACUGGACUUUUGAAGAUCUAAAAUGAAAACCCUCUUCAGAAUUAUAGAAUCAUAGAGUUGGGAGAGACCUCGUGGGCCAUCCAGUCCAACCCCUUGCCAAGAAGCAAGAAAAUCACAUUCAAAGCACCCCCGACAGAUGGCCAUCCAGCCCCUGCUCAAAAGCUUCCAAAGAAGGAGCCUCCACCGCACUCUUCUUUUUCUCUUUUUGUGCAUUUGUAGAAUUUUAGUGUAUCUUAAAACUUUCAAUACAAUAUUAUUUAAAAAGAGAGAGAGACCCUGAUCUUAUCUAAUUGGCUAUUAUUUACUAAUUUUAUCAUUCCCAAGGUUUUUUAAAAAAUCAUGCAAAGCAAUAUACAUGCACAACAAUGCUCUGAACAUGCAAAUAUGUUAUUUAGCUGGGAUUCUAGCACCUUAAUAGUAAAUGAAUUUGAAACCAUUUUGACUUUGCCCUUUACAGAAAAAAAUCACCAUGUCUUAUAUUCCAACUUGCUUCUGUGGUUGUGUGAAUUGGCCCUAUAUCAUGUUAUUUUGUUCUUCCAAAUCAAGUGAGAUAACUCAUUUUUUUCUAGGUACUUUUAUAACUUACUAAUUAGUGGUGCACAACUUCCUUUAUCUCUUAAUGGGCACAAAUGAAUUAGCCUGUAUUAAAAAAUCUGCUACAAAUGGCUAUACUUUCUUGGAUUGUUAGAGGUGAAUCAAAUGAUCUGUGUGGCUGAACUGACUAGAGAACUCCCAGCUACUUAGGAAAGGACACAUUUUCAUAGCUAGGCUACUUUACACCAUCUGGCCCAUGGACCAUCUAGUACAAUUUUGUUUCAAACU